UACGUAGGGGCCGAGCGUUGUCCGGAGUUAUUGGGCGUAAAGCGCGCGCAGGCGGCUUCGCGCGCCCGACGUGAAAGCCCCCGGCUUAACCGGGGAGAGUCGUCGGGGACGGCGGAGCUUGAGGGCGGGAGAGGUCGGUGGAAUUCCCGGUGUAGUGGUGAAAUGCGUAGAGAUCGGGAGGAACACCUGUGGCGAAGGCGGCCGACUGGGCCGACCCUGA
rnacentral:rRNA from 1 species